AUCGCUUCUCGGCCUUUUGGCUAAGAUCAAGUGGAAUAUUAUUUGUAAAUAUAAAAAUUAUCAAUAUUGAUUUUUAACCAUUUACCCCCU
rnacentral:snRNA from 1 species